GAUGAACGCUGGCGGCGUGCCUAAUACAUGCAAGUCGAGCGAACGGACGAGAAGCUUGCUUCUCUGAUGUUAGCGGCGGACGGGUGAGUAACACGUGGAUAACCUACCUAUAAGACUGGGAUAACUUCGGGAAACCGGAGCUAAUACCGGAUGAUAUUUUGAACCGCAUGGUUCAAAAGUGAAAGACGGUCUUGCUGUCACUUAUAGAUGGAUCCGCGCUGCAUUAGCUAGUUGGUAAGGUAACGGCUUACCAAGGCAACGAUGCAUAUCCUACCUGAAGGGGUGAUCAGUCACAAUCGAGCUGAUACACGGUCCAGACUCCUACGUGAGGCAGCGGUAUGGAAUCGUCCGCUAAGAGCGAAUGCGAGAGGGAAUCACGCCGCGUGAGUGAUGAGGGUCUUCGGAUCGUAAAACUCUGUUAUUAGGGAGGAACAUAUGAGUAAGUAGCUGUGCAAAUCUUUACGAUAUCUAAUCAGAAAGCCACGACUAACUACAGG
rnacentral:rRNA from 1 species